rnacentral:tRNA from 1 species
GCCUUCGUGGGGUAAUGGUCAGCACACUCGGAAAGUAUUCGAGAGGUCCGAGGUUCGAAUCCCGGCGAGGGCA